rnacentral:rRNA from 1 species
UACGGGGGGUGCUAGCGUUGUCCGGAAUCACUGGGCGUAAAGGGCGCGUAGGUGGUUUGAUAAGGGUGUGGUGAAAGCCCGGGGCUCAACCCCGGGUCUGCCGUGCCGACUGUCAAACUCGAGGGCUGUAGAGGCAGACGGAAUUGCGGGUGUAGCGGUGGAAUGCGUAGAGAUCCGGAGGAAGACCGGUGGCGAAGGCGGUCUGCUGGGACGUGGCUGACGCUGAGGCGCGACAGCGUGGGGAGCAAACAGG